GGAGUUAGCCGGUGCUUCUUCUGUGAGUGAUGUCCUUCCUGCCGGUUAUUGACCCGCAGGCCUUCUUCCUCACUGAAAGUGCUUUACAACCCGAAGGCCUUCUUCACACACGCGGCAUGGCUGGAUCAGGGUUGCCCCCAUUGUCCAAUAUUCCCCACUGCUGCCUCCCGUAGGAGUCUGGGCCGUGUCUCAGUCCCAGUGUGGCUGAUCAUCCUCUCAGACCAGCUACGGAUCGUCGCCUUGGUGAGCCGUUACCUCACCAACCAGCUAAUCCGACAUAGGCUCAUCCGAUAGCGCGAGGCCCGAAGGUCCCCCGCUUUCCCCCGUAGGGCGUAUGCGGUAUUAGCCUGGGUUUCCCCAGGUUAUCCCCCACUACCGGGCAGAUUCCUAUGCAUUACUCACCCGUCCGCCGCUCGCCACCAGGGAGCAAGCUCCCCGUGCUGCCGCUCGACUUGCAUGUGUUAGGCCUGCCGCCAGCGUUCAAUCUGAGCCAGANCAACACUCACACGAGCGGCGGCGUCGACGACGGCGACUAG
rnacentral:rRNA from 1 species